rnacentral:rRNA from 1 species
GAUGAACGCUAGCUACAGGCUUAACACAUGCAAGUCGCGGGGCAGCAUGGGGGUUGCUUGCAAUCCCUGAUGGCGACCGGCGCACGGGUGAGUAACGCGUAUCCAACCUGCCCUUCACCACGGGAUAACCCGGCGAAAGUCGGACUAAUACCGUAUGUUGUCCAUUGACGGCAUCCGAUUUGGACGAAAGGCUUUGCGGUGAGGGAUGGGGAUGCGUCCGAUUAGCUUGACGGCGGGGUAACGGCCCACCGUGGCUACGAUCGGUAGGGGUUCUGAGAGGAAGGUCCCCCACACUGGAACUGAGACACGGUCCAGACUCCUACGGGAGGCAGCAGUGAGGAAUAUUGGUCAAUGGGCGGAAGCCUGAACCAGCCAAGU